rnacentral:rRNA from 1 species
ACAUACGACCAUAGGGUGUGGAAAACAGGGCUUCCCGUCCGCUCAGCCGUACUCAAGCCACACGCCGGUGUGUUAGUAGUUGGGUGGGUGACCACCAGCGAAUCCUCACUGUUGUAUGUU